rnacentral:piRNA from 1 species
UAAGAACUGACAAGUAGAAGAUUGUGU